AGAGUUUGAUCCUGGCUCAGGAUGAACGCUGGCGGCGUGCCUAAUACAUGCAAGUCGAGCGAACGGACGAGAAGCUUGCUUCUCUGAUGUUAGCGGCGGACGGGUGAGUAACACGUGGAUAACCUACCUAUAAGACUGGGAUAACUUCGGGAAACCGGAGCUAAUACCGGAUAAUAUUUUGAACCGCAUGGUUCAAAAGUGAAAGACGGUCUUGCUGUCACUUAUAGAUGGAUCCGCGCUGCAUUAGCUAGUUGGUAAGGUAACGGCUUACCAAGGCAACGAUGCAUAGCCGACCUGAGAGGGUGAUCGGCCACACUGGAACUGAGACACGGUCCAGACUCCUACGGGAGGCAGCAGUAGGGAAUCUUCCGCAAUGGGCGAAAGCCUGACGGAGCAACGCCGCGUGAGUGAUGAAGGUCUUCGGAUCGUAAAACUCUGUUAUUAGGGAAGAACAUAUGUGUAAGUAACUGUGCACAUCUUGACGGUACCUAAUCAGAAAGCCACGGCUAACUACGUGCCAGCAGCCGCGGUAAUACGUAGGUGGCAAGCGUUAUCCGGAAUUAUUGGGCGUAAAGCGCGCGUAGGCGGUUUUUUAAGUCUGAUGUGAAAGCCCACGGCUCAACCGUGGAGGGUCAUUGGAAACUGGAAAACUUGAGUGCAGAAGAGGAAAGUGGAAUUCCAUGUGUAGCGGUGAAAUGCGCAGAGAUAUGGAGGAACACCAGUGGCGAAGGCGACUUUCUGGUCUGUAACUGACGCUGAUGUGCGAAAGCGUGGGGAUCAAACAGGAUUAGAUACCCUGGUAGUCCACGCCGUAAAC
rnacentral:rRNA from 1 species